AUUGAACGCUGGCGGCAUGCUUUACACAUGCAAGUCGAACGGCAGCGCGGGCUUCGGCCUGGCGGCGAGUGGCGAACGGGUGAGUAAUGCAUCGGAACGUGCCCAGUAGUGGGGGAUAGCCCGGCGAAAGCCGGAUUAAUACCGCAUACGACAUGAGGGUGAAAGCGGGGGACCGAAAGGCCUCGCGCUAUUGGAGCGGCCGUUGUCGGAUUAGCUAGUUGGUGGGGUAAAGGCUUACCAAGGCGACGAUCCGUAGCUGGUCUGAGAGGACGACCAGCCACACUGGGACUGAGACACGGCCCAGACUCCUACGGGAGGCAGCAGUGGGGAAUUUUGGACAAUGGGGGCAACCCUGAUCCAGCCAUGCCGCGUGAGGGAAGAAGGCCUUCGGGUUGUAAAACGCUUUUGUUCGGGAAGAAAUCCUCUGGGCUAAUACCCCGGGGGGAUGACGGUACCGGAAGAAUAAGCACCGGCUAACUACGUG
rnacentral:rRNA from 1 species